UUUUUUUUUUUUUUAUGAAGGACAGAUCCUUCUCACUUUGCCUCUCCUAUUGUUGUCACCUCCUUUUAGGAUUCUUUAUCAACAAGAAUAGACAAUUUGUGUGAAUUAGGCAGGCUUUGAGUAACACUAAUGUGGGCUACUAAGGCUAAAACUAGUAGGUGAUUUGUAAUGUCAGUAAGCUGACCUACUUUGUAUCCCUUUUGGAUUCUGGACUGCAGCUAUAUUGCUCAUUCAGUUAUUCAUCCAAUCAUCAUAUGUUCAUUGAAUGCCUGUAAUAGACCAAUCUCUCUUCUAAGUAGACAAAGCUUCUGCUGUUAUGUGGCUUAUAUUUUUGUAGGGAAGAAAGAGUGAAAAUAUAGAAAUAAACAGACACAUAGUAAGAUGAUGGUAAAUGUAGGGAAAAAGAUGAAAAAAAUAUAUGAGUGAAAAGAACCCAGGCAGAAGGAACAGAGAGAAAAGAGGCUGUGCUGAUAAGCAACAAACUCCCUGUGGCUAAAAUAGAAUGGGCAAGGCUCAAUAAAAUAGUUUCAUUUCACAGCUGUGGCCAGGCAUGAGAUUGUAGAAGGUCCAUGGGUCCUACUAAGGAAGUUCCCACAAGAGGAAUGACUUUUUAUUCAUACAGUGGGUGUGCCUGAGUGACAAUGCUGUCAUGGAAUAAAAUGUUAACAAAAGAAAUAAAAUUAUUCAUAAUGAUAAUCAGAAACAGUGCCCUCUUUCUCUCAAAAGUACUUAAAGUCUAUCUAAAUGUAAUUAACAAGCUGUAAUUGAAUUUACAAAAUGUUGGGUACUGAGGUUCAGACAAGCACUGGAAAAGACACUGUCUCCUCCAGAAGACUGGCGUGCAACCAGGUAAUUACCUCAAAUGUUAGAACUGUUGAACAGAAGCAAAAAAACAAACAAACAAAAAUAACUAUGAUUAUUGUGUUAGCAGAAAAGGUGAAUAACAUAAAUGAAUAAUAGUGGAAAUUUAGCAGAAAAAGUUUAGACUAAAGUAGUACAUAAAAAAAUGUAAAAGACUAAAUACCUCUAUUAGAAAAAAAAGAAAGAAAGGUCUAAAAUUAAUGAUCACAGCCUCCACCCUAGAAAAAGGAAAGCAAACUAAACUCAAAUUAAGCAGGAAAAAAAAAAAAGGAAAUUAUGAACAUCAGAGUGAAAAUCAUUGAAAUAGAACAAAAAAGUAAGAGAAAAAUUUUUUAAAAAAAGCUGUUUCUUUAAGAAAAUUAAUAAAAGUAAUAAACCUCCAGCCAGACUGACCAGGAAUAAAAGAGAAAUGAUACAAAUUCCCAAUAUCAGGAGUGAGAGAGGCAGUGUCACUACAGAUUCUAUAGCUAUUAAAAGUAUCAUAGGAUAAUAUUAUGAAUACAUUUAUGCCAGUAAGUUCGACAACUGAGAUUAAAAGGUAAAAUUUCUUGAAAAACACAGACUAGCAAAGCUCACUGAAAAGGAAAUAAAUAAGCUGAAUAUUCCCAUAUCUGUUUUAAAAAUAGAUUUCAAGUUAAAACCUUUCUCCCAAACAAAACACCACUACCAGAAAGUUUCACUUUUGAGUUCUACUAGACCUUAAGGAAGGAAUAACACCAAUUAAACACAAACAUCAAGAAAAAUGAAUAGAUAUUACUACACUCCAACUCACUGACUCCAACAUUACCCUUUCAAAGAUGGUUUAACAUUCAGAAAGCAAUCAAUGUAAUCAUCCAUACUACAAGACUAAGGAAAAAAAUGGAAUUAUCUCAAUAGAUGCAGAAAAAGCUUUUGACAAAUCCAACAUCCUUAGCUGGUAAAAACUCUCAGUAAACUAGAAAUAAAAGGGAACUUCCUUAACUUCAUGGAAAUCAUGGUCAAAAAAAAAUCUUAUGGGUUACAUCAUAUUUAGUCAUCAAAGACUGAAUGAUUUUCUCCUAAGAUCAGGAACAAGGGAAAAGUGGCUGUUCUUAUCAUGUCUGUUAAACAUUGUACCGACACUAGCCAGUACAAUAAGGCACGAAAAGUAAAUAAAAAGGUAUGCAGAUUAUAAAAGAUUAAGUAUAAAUGCCUUUAUUUAUUUGAAAAUAUAAUGACUAGGUAGAAACUGCUGUGGAAUCUACAAAAAAGAGAAUUUAAUUAGAUUUUGGAAUGCAAAAUCAGUAUUCAACAGUCUGAUAUAUUUCUACAUUCUAACAAUGAAAAAUUAAAUUCAAAUGUAAAAGUUUUUUUUCUGUCUAUGUAAUGUGUAUUUUUAAAAUUGAAGUACAGUUCCAAUUUCAAUAGAAUACAAAUAAAAAAAAUACUUAACAGUAAAUAUGAAAAAGGAAAGUAGGACCUGUUCACUGAAUAGUACAAAAUACUGCUUAGGAAAAAAUUUAAGACUGAAUUAAAUGAAGAUAUGUACCAUGGACAUAAGUCAAAAAAACUUAAUAUCAUUAAGCUGUCAAAAACAAUUAUUUGUGUAAUCACCUGGGCUUCUGAGAAAGUAAUAUGAUUAUAGUAUAAACAGAAUGGAAGUAGCAGAAUGUGUGGAAUGGCAGAAAGAUGAGAUGGCAAGAAAUAGGAGCUGGCAGUGAGCAUGAAACUGUAGACUGGGUCCUGAUCACGAAGGGCUUUGUGUGCCAUGCUAAGAGUUUAAGUUUUUCCUGCAAAAGUUGGAAGUCAUGGAUUGUUUGUGUUUUUAACUUUUAAUUUUCAAGCAGUUUUAGGUUUGUAGAAAAAUUGCAAAGCAUAGGGCAAGUAGUUCCUUUAUAUUUAUUACCCUCUUCCCUUGGUAUUUGUGUCUCACUUAUAGUACAAUUAUCAAGAGCAGGGAAUCAACAUUAAUACAGUAUCAUAGACUGUACAGACCUUCCUCAAAAUUCACGAAAAAUUUAAUGACUUUUUUUCUGUUCCAGAAUUUUAUUCAGGAUCCCAUACUUCAUUUAUUUGUCAUUUCUCCCUAGUUUCUCCAGUCAGUAAUAGAUGCUCAGUUUUUUUUAAUUUAUGACCUUUAAAACACAAAAAUGUUAUAAUGAGAUCAAAAAAAAACCCAAAAAACCCAGAUAUCUUUGUUUACAAUGUAGAUGAUUGAAGAACACUUAAGCUGGAGGUGGUGAAAUCACAGGUUGGAGACAAUUUUAGUAACUGGGUUAGUGGUGAUAGAGAUUAACCUAUGGGACUUAGAGUGAAUAUUUCACAAAGAGAAUAUUUUUGGGAAAUGUUUAGGAGGUAGAAUUAAUGGUAUAGGUUAACCAAAGUUGAUGUGAAGGAGUGUGGAGAAUAAGAGAAAGGGAAUAAUUGAAAAUGACUUCUGAGUUUUGGCAUUGACAUUCUGGACAAAUGACAAUAACUGAGAGAGCAAUGUAAAAUAUUAUUUUUUUUUCAUCUUCUAUUUUCCCCUUAUACAAACAUAAGCAUGUAGUUCAUCAUAUCUUUUUACAAAGAUCUUGUUUUUACAAGAUACAAUUUCCCGGCGUAUGUUAAAUAUCCUUUCACUUGUCUUGAAAGAAUCAAUUCUAAAACCAGGAUGUGCCAUAUUAUAAAAGAAUAAUAAUUUUAAUAACUAGAAUUUCUAUAUGAUGAUGGAAAAGGUUUUGAAAAAAGACAUAAAAUAUAAUAUGAAUUAUCAUUCUUAGCACAGUUGUGUCUAAGUCUACGUAUCUCUUUUUCCUAUACCUCCUCCCCAAUCACAAACUAAGAGAAUUAGGAAAAUAAGGAAGUUUCACUCCCCAGCUGUGGUUAUAUUGUCAAUGAUAUUAUUGGGAAAAAAGUAAAGGGAAGUCACUGAAUAUUGCAUGUUCUGCAGUAAUGUCAAAGAGCAUUGCAGUUACAGUCCAUUAGACUUAUGUGUUCCAGAAAGAGUUACACAUCAGAACUACUCAGGUAAUAAUAUCUCAUAAUGCAAAUAGAUGACCACUAGUAAAACCUCUAGGAGUGAAUGUAGUCAUCUGUAUUAAAUCUUUACAUUGAACUCUGAUGCAGGGGAGAUUUGGGAAACACUAUGGUGAAUAGAUUGGGAGAUCUUUGAGGAUAGAACCUGCCACAUAUAUUAAUCUAGUCUCCAAAGAAGUUCCUGGCACAUGGUUGAAAGUUGAUAAAUAAGUUUUGAAGACUAAGUGUAUGAAUUGAAUAUGCAAAAGUCUUGAUGGGACCUAAAAUCAUUAGAGGAGAUUAUAUUGGUCAAUAUAAAUAAGUCCGAAAAAAUAUCACAGGAAAUAAGUAUAUUCAAAAAGGAUGUUGCUGGGAGUUCCCGUCAUGGCGCAGUGGUUAACGAAUCUGACUAGGAACCAUGAGGUUGUGGGUUCGGUCCCUGCCCUUGCUCAGUAGGUUAACCAUCUGGCGUUGCCGUGAGCUGUGGUGUAGGUUGCAGACGCGGCUCGGAUCCCGUGUUGCUGUGGCUCUGGCAUAGGCCGGUGGCUACAGCUCCGAUUCGACCCCUAGCCUGGGAACCUCCAUAUGCCGCGGGAGCAGCCCAAGAAAUAACAAAGAAAAAAAAAAAGUUACUAUCCAAAAAUAUUUCACUGAGUUCUCUUUGAGUAUUCAGUAACAGAUAAUCAGUUUCAAAACCCUUAAUAGAUUUUAUUUUAAUCUCAUUUUACUUAAUAAGAAAAAGAAAACUCAAACUGAUUAGUUUCAGGAAUGAAAAAAAUGAAAAAAAUAGUUGUACAUGAACAUCGUUUAACUAAAAUUUAUAUAUUUAUACAGAGAACUUCAUUUCCAUAACUGCUGAAUGACCAAAAAGGAUGAAAGUGUUGCUAAUUCCAGUUGCUAUUACAAAGAAAGAAAGAAGGGAAGGAGGAGAGGGAGGAAGGAAGUUAGGAAGGAAGAAAGGAAGAAAAAGAAAGAAAAAUGUGUGCUUUCAGCAGUUAACGCAGGCUACAAAUAUCUUGAUAGUGUUACAGUCUCAAACAUCUGUAGUUACAAAGCCAGCAAGUUGUUCAGUAUCCUCCAUAAGUGUUGGAGGUAUGUGAGUACAUGCAUACCUAACAUAAAUAAAUAAUAGGGCUUGAAGUAAUUAAUGGGAAAGCAAUAUGCCAUUGAGAAGUCCUUGGCUUGGAUUCUUAUAGUAAAAAAAGUUGUAGAUAUAC
rnacentral:lncRNA from 1 species